UGGGUUCGAUUCCGGAGAGGGAGCCUGAGAAAUGGCUACCACAUCCAAGGAAGGCAGCAGGCGCGUAAAUUGCCCGAAUCCUGACACAGGGAGGUAGUGACAAGAAAUAACAAUACAGGGCUAUUUUAGUCUUGUAAUUGGAAUGAGUACAAUUUGCAUCUCUUCACGAGGAUCAAUUGGAGGGCAAGUCUGGUGCCAGCAGCCGCGGUAAUUCCAGCUCCAAUAGCGUAUAUUAAAGUUGUUGCAGUUAAAUCGCUCGUAGUCGGAUUUCGGGGCGGGGCCGCCGGUCUGCCGAUGGGUAUGCACUGGCGGUCGCGUCCUUCCUUCCGGAGACUGGCCCUACUCUUAACUGAGCGGGGUCGGGAGUCGGAUCGUUUACUUUGAAAAAAUCAGAGUGUUUCAAGCAGGCAGCUCGCUCUUGCAUGGAUUAGCAUGGGAUAACGAAAUAGGACUUUGGUGCUAUUUUGUUGGUUUCGAACACCGAAGUAAUGAUUAACAGGGACAGUCAGGGGCACUCGUAUUCCGCCGAGAGAGGUGAAAUUCUCAGACCAGCGGAAGACGAACCACUGCGAAAGCAUUUGCCAGGGAUGUUUUCACUGAUCAAGAACGAAAGUUAGGGGAUCGAAGACGAUCAGAUACCGUCGUAGUCUUAACCAUAAACCAUGCCGACUAGGGAUGGGUGGAUGUCCUUCUUUGACUCCAUCCGCACCUUAAGGGAAACUAUAGUCUUUGGGUUCCGGGGGGAGUAUGGUCGCAAGGCUGAAACUUAAAGGAAUUGACGGAAGGGCACCACCAGGAGUGGAGCCUGCGGCUUAAUUUGA
rnacentral:rRNA from 1 species